UUCUUUUCCAGGACUUUUAAGAUCAUAACAACGAGAAAGUCCGUUUAUCCAGCUACUGAGUUACAUGUCGCAGAUUUCCCGUCCACCUCUUCUUGAAGCGAAAAUAUUGUUGAUGGAUCAACAUUGAUCGUUAGAGAUCAUUCAUUUGACAUGUCUUAUCGUAGACGCAAGAAGCAGAGAAAAUCGAAGCGUUCCGAUGUUUCAAAACCAUCCGCUGUAGCGAGAGGUUGCCAGCCUAUAAGAGCCCACCAUAAGUGCGAUGAGAGUAAACUACUACCAACUAGAAGACUUGGUAUAGAGAUGGAGUGAUUUCGUAACAUAUGAUUUGUUUUAGAGAGACACGUUCGAAGUACAUGUAUUUGGCAUAAAUCAAUGCAAAGUGCCUAUCGUUAAUAAAGGGCUAAUAUUCUU